rnacentral:rRNA from 1 species
GACGAACGCUGGCGGCGUGCCUAAUACACGCAAGUCGAACGCUUCUUUCUUAUCGAACUUCGGUUCACCGAGAAAGAGGAGUGGCGGACGGGUGAGUAACACGUGGGUAACCUGCCCUUUAGCGGGGGAUAACACUUGGAAACAGGUGCUAAUACCGCAUAAUCUUUUUUCUCGCAUGAGAGAAAAGUGAAAGACGCUUUUGCGUCACUAGAGGAUGGACCCGCGCUGCAUUAGCUAGUUGGUGGGGUAACGGCCCACCAAGGCGACGAUCGGUAGCCGGACUGAGAGGUUGACCGGCCACAUUGGGACUGAGAUACGGCCCAG